AACAAUACUUCGCUAAAGUUCAUUACAACAAACAUCAUGAUCUGGACUCGCUCGUUGAAAUUUCUAUUACUGACAAUUAUACUUUUUCUUCCACAAAUCGAAUUACUACCGGAACCGGAAGGUGAAUACCCCUGCAUCGAAGCAGGCCAGAUCAUAGCAUCGGAAACGGAACGUUGCAUUUGCUUGGAAGCAGGUGGAAAAGUAAAGUGUGCACCGAAAGAUGUUUCUUUGGUUUGCAAAUCACCCUUUUUGAAUGGUGUUUUCGAAAACAAUGAAUUUAAAUGUGGUCCUGCUCCACCUCCUAACUGAGCUAAACGAUUAGUUUUUGUGGAAACAGAAGGUUGUAUGCAAGGUAUGAAGAAUUAUCAAAACCGUAAGAGUUUUCUUAUGAGAAUGAUUAGACAGUACACAGUCUAUAUGUCUGAUUUGAGAACAACAUGACAUGAAAUUCAAUGAAAUAAAAAAACAAAGUAAAAACAGUAUUAUCUGGGACUUGAACCGAAAACCAUUAUAUCAUAAAGUAUAGCCGGCAAGUGAAAGUUACAUGAGAAACUUUUCAAAUUCAAUUGGUCAUGGCGUAAACUACAGUUGGCAAUCAGAGAAAGAUGUUUUGUCAAUAUGAAAAUUACGUUGCAUGAAAUGUAACAGAUUGUAGACAAGUGUAUAGACUAAUAUUAUAGAUAUCACAUCAUGGUGAAAUUGAAGCGAAA